UCAAGAGUCACAUGCUCCACCAACAUGGUCCAGCCAGGGACCCCUAUUGUAAUUUUUUGGUACCAUCUAUUUUCAUUACUUUGUCUCUUGUUUACUGGAUUUGGGUUUUGUUUGUUUGUUUUUGCUUGUGUGUGUGGGUUUUUUUGUAUUUCAUUUUAUACACUAAAUUGACUUUUUACCCAUAACAUUUUUGGAGUAUUUCAUCAAGGAUAAGAAUACACAGCCUUUAUUAACACAGUCUACCUUAAAUUCGUAUUAUGUCACUUCACCAACAAUGUGGAAAAACUUCCUAUUAUGUAAUCCUCAUCUUUUUCCAUCAUGACACAGAAGAUCAGCACAAGACAUAGGAGAGGUAUUUAAGAAUUCAUAUGGUGAAGAACCUCUAUGAAUAGAAUCAAAUUGGAAAGUAUUUGAAAAAUACCUUAAUAUGUAAUGUAUAAAAGAUAUUCCAUACUAGAGAGAAAUAUAAUGAGGAUAAUCAAUGUGAGAAAAACUUCAGCCAGAUUUCAAAUUUAAAUGUGCACAAAAGAACUCAUACUGAAGAGAAAAGCUAUGAAUUCAGUGGAUGUAAGAAAUAGUAAUUAAUCAUUCAUCUGUUAAAACACACACAGGAUCACACACUGACACAAACCCUAUGAAUCUAAGGACAGUAGAGAGCCCUUCAGCUGUUCUUUGUAUUGUAGGACUCACAUGAAAAUACACUUUGGAAAAUAAUAUGAAAACUAUGGGAAAGCCAUUAUUCAUUCUUCAUCCAUUGCUGUACAUUUAAAACUCACAGUGGAGAUAAGCCUUAUUUCAUAUAAUGUGAAAAAUGUGAAAAAAAAAACCUUCCAUUUUUUUCAUCUCUUAGAAAAAUGUGGAAAAUCUCACUGAAGAGAAAUACUAUGAACAUAAGAAAUGUGGAACAAUCUUCAAUUGUCCCUCAUCCUUUCGGCAUGUGUGAGAACUCAUAUUGAAAAUAUCUCCUUUUGACUGUAGAAGGUUGGACACAAUACUUCAAGUUGAAGAGAGAGCCCUUGCAACCAUGAGAGUGAAAGCUAGGUGUAAUGAUGAUUGUGCUGGAUUGUGUUACAUGAGACUUAGAACCACAUUUUCCAGACUCUUCUCUGCUAUACGGUUGGACAAGAGGAACUUGCAUGAGAUUUGGAAUGCAAAAUGAAGAAGAAGCCAUUAACCUCAAAAGGAUGUGGAAGUAGCAGAUUGACAGAUCUAAAACUAUUCAGGAGUUCCAAACUUCAAGCUUGACUUCCUAACUAUUGGCUUUGUUGAACAUCAGCCCUGAGCCAAUCACUAAGCACAUAACUUCAAUUCCCUCAGAGGUGGCAGCUUCCACAAACAUCUCCAUGAGCUCACCCUUCAUAGUCCUACUUUGGUGGCUAGAUGUGCACAGCUGUUUGAAUUUCCUACACAGUAAAACCUGCCAAUUCUCACUGCUGUUUCAGGUUAUCAUGAUUAGAGACUUUUUCCAAUCCUCUGAUUCCUUCUUCUGUGAAAAGUGUAAUUUCUGUAGUGAGCACAUAGUUCAAAAACAAUAUAAACAAAUGAGUAACUUUGUUCCCCUUUUGCAUUGUUAAGUGGCUACUCGAUCCCUGUACUGCCUGUUUCUAAACUCUUGAGAAAUAAACACCUUGCUAAUUUGUGGGUCAUGUGAGAAUUUUAUGUCACUCAAAACUGAAUAAAAUCCUAAAUGAUAAA